ACGAACGCUGGCGGCGUGCCUAAUACAUGCAAGUUGAGCGAUGAAGAUUGGUGCUUGCACCAAUUUGAAGAGCAGCGAACGGGUGAGUAACGCGUGGGGAAUCUGCCUUUGAGCGGGGGACAACAUUUGGAAACGAAUGCUAAUACCGCAUAAUAACUUUAAACAUAAGUUUUAAGUUUGAAAGAUGCAAUUGCAUCACUCAAAGAUGAUCCCGCGUUGUAUCAGCUAGUUGGUGAGGUAAAGGCUCACCAAGGCGAUGAUACAUAGCCGACCUGAGAGGGUGAUCGGCCACAUUGGGACUGAGACACGGCCCAAACUCCUACGGGAGGCAGCAGUAGGGAAUCUUCGGCAAUGGACGAAAGUCUGACCGAGCAACGCCGCGUGAGUGAAGAAGGUUUUCGGAUCGUAAAACUCUGUUGGUAGAGAAGAACGUUGGUGAGAGUGGAAAGCUCAUCAAGUGACGGUAACUACCCAGAAAGGGACGGCUAACUACGUG
rnacentral:rRNA from 1 species